rnacentral:tRNA from 1 species
GGUCUUAUAUUCAAUAAUGAUAUUAGAAUGCAAUUCUAAAGGAAUAAUUUAAAUAAUUAUUAAGACUU